AACUUUUCAGGAUUUUCGUAAGGUUAUCCUAUACAUAGGUUAGGUUAGUUUUAUGGCAAUCCUAAAAAGUUACGCGUUUCUGAGAACAACCAAAUUAUGACUAACGAAAAUGUGGACAA